UCUUUAAUGGAGAGUUUGAUCCUGGCUCAGGACGAACGCUGGCGGCGUGCCUAAUACAUGCAAGUCGAGCGGGGUUAAUUAGAAGCUUGCUUCUAAUUAACCUAGCGGCGGACGGGUGAGUAACACGUAGGCAACCUGCCCACAAGACAGGGAUAACUACCGGAAACGGUAGCUAAUACCCGAUACAUCCUUUUCCUGCAUGGGAGAAGGAGGAAAGGCGGAGCAAUCUGUCACUUGU
rnacentral:rRNA from 1 species